ensembl:lncRNA
AUGUCUGGGCUAAAUUUACAUUGUGGACUGAUGCAAUUGUGGAGUCUACAAAGCAGAACAAAGCUCAACUCUUUCCUAUUGCUUUUGUCAGUUUUAAUGGAUGAUAAUGAGCCCCUUCCUUCUUUCCAUUCUACUUUAACAUGCUCUUCCCUCGUACUUGAUCGAUUCACCUUUACUUUUUUAUUCUCAUCGCCAAAAUCAUGUCCGCAGAAGCCAAAACUAUCGCUCCUGGCUCUCCUGUUUCAGUGAAACAGCAACUCAAAAAAUCAUAUUAUAAAUAUAUAAAAGUUUUAAAAAAGACAUUUGCUGUGGAUCUAUAAGAAAACCAUAUCAUUUAAAGUGUCCGCAUAUUAAAAUAAGUUACUGUGAAGCGAAUGGCGAUACUCAAACUCCCAUGGUUUGUUUUUGUGUACCAGCCCACAAAUGAGCCUGGAUCAGCUCAAUGGGGUUUUAUAUGUUGUGAGGGAGCAGUGUUAGGAACGAAAACGGAUUUAAAACUGGUUUUAAGCCUUGAACUGUGCUGGUACCAUUUCUCCGAAAACGAAACGUAAAAACUAAACAAUAGUAGGCGUCACAGAGUACAUUUCAUUCAAAUGGAUUCAAAUGUUUAACAUUUCUUGCAUACCAACAUUUAAUUAUGUUUAAAAGGGAGCAUUGAAGGCAUAUCUAAAGGCCAAAUACAACGCUUCAAAUCUCCAGCUUAUUAGUGAAAGGCCACUGCCGCCAUGUUCAUAUGAUGUUCAUCAGAAAAGCUAAAAGGAAGAAAAUCCUGAUAUUGACAAACUUUGUGUAAAAAGAAAUGAGACGUCUUGCUGAGGAGGCUUUGCUGCCCCCACGGGGCAGUGCAGGGUACUACACCAAGGUGUUUCCACAGAGGUGAGAGUCGUUCCUCAUGGGAAUGAGAGAACGCAGAAAAGAGGAGGAAUAUGCUCGUUCUUGUAUAUUCCUUGGCUCAUCUUGGUUUAAAAUGGAAGUUCUCAUUCAGUUCUCCACUUUUACUGCAAUAAACUGCUGGUGUACGUAAACAUGAAUGGUAAAAGACUUUUGACUCAGUAAAAAUUAGAAGUCAAAACGAUGUCUUGCGAUGAUUCAUAAAGUUGGUUUUCAUGCUACAUCAAGUUCUCUUUAUAGAUUUUAAAGACCUGGUUUUAUUUUGAAAGGUAGUGGAUUCUGUAACUUCCUAAUACGUGCGGGAGAAAAUAACAAAGUAGAACUAAAAAUGCUCUGAUUUAACUCCAAGACCUGCAAAGUCAACACUGCAAAAGCCAAACCAAAAAUCUCGAGGAAGGUAUUAAACCACUGUUACGCACAUACAGCACCCCGUGAGGGGAGGGGAACGUACAUCGCGCUGCCAAGAACCCCAGAAGGCCAGAGACCGGGUGUGGGCGCAAGUAAUCACACCAACACCGAUGGGUUUGGUUUAAACAGGCUAGCACGUGCCAGUUUAAUAAUAAACAAUAGAGGGAAAUGGGAGAACGGCUGAGCUGAUCCAAAACAAAGAAAUUAGCAAAACCCCCACCCCUUACCUGUCCCCACGUCCUACACAAAACACUUAUUUACUCUGGCGCUCGAGCAAGGCGCCCUAACCAAAAAUACAGGGGGUGGAUCGCUCAGAUCUAACCUGGUGUGUAUAACAGGAGAUAUCCCUACGGGUGAUGUAUGCCCAGGGCGUCUUUCCUAACACUCCCAAGUGCUUUCCGUUCUCCCUCCCUCCACAAGAAAUACAAAUGAUUAACACUGUCAAUAAUCCAAAACACUCCACCAUGUACAACCAAUUUCACAAGAGCACCCCAAACACAACCUUACACCCUGCCUCAGAGAUCUGGACUGAACAACCAGGAACACAUAAAUACAGCUGAUGGGACGAUGCGAUUGGAGGAUGGGAAAACAGGAACCAGCUGUACGAGAUCACGGGAGGGCGGAUGAGUAAGUAAGACAAUUAGCUCCACCUGAGGAGGGUUAACACACACGGCAGAGACAUGUAGACACACACAGAACACAGACAAGACCGGGGGUUGUAACAACCACAAGGAAAUCAAAAAAGGCUCUGAAUUAACUCGAAGAGCUGAAGAGUCAAAAAUGCAAAACGCAAAACCCAAAUCUCUGUUACCGAGGAAAUUAAAAAAAUAAUCAAUCACUAACAAAAGGGCUCUGAAAUAAUUCGAAGGCCAAGGCAUAAUGCCAACUAAGGAAUCUAUAACAAGGUUUGGGACAGACAAAACUAUGACAUGGACUUAAUACUAACAUGAGGCGGGUGUGAAAGACGAAAGCACAUGACCCACUGGCACAGGACAAGGGGAGAUGCAGACUGUAAGUACAGACUUGUGACCCAUGAGGAAGGGCAAGGUACCUGAAACGAGAGGAGAGUUAACUUCCAAAAUAAAACAGGAAGUCACAAAACAAACGUGGAGACAGGACAAAACCCAACUUGACAUACAAGUGUGACACUAAUUUUGUCAUGUCAUAUUCGUUGUUCAAUCCUCUGCUCUGUUGCAUCUUACAUUAUUCUAAAAAAAAUGUCAUCGUAACUCCUGUAGUUGAAGCAAAACAUUGUUUAAUUGCGAUAUUUUUCAUGUUGAUUGUAGUUAAAAAGACAAAUUAUUCAUUAAAUAAAUAACCUGUAGCAUCCUAUCCGAGCGUUUUGUUUAAGUUAGAAAAAAAACACUCGUGCAGUCUCUUUGGUAAAAGAAAACAUGGCCGGCCGCACAUAUUUUGCAUUGUUUUCGUGUUUACUUCUAGUGUUCCUUUGUUCCUUAUAGCAGAGCUAGACGUGACUCUCUGGCGCCCUCUUGUGUUCAUCUCUAACAGAGCGUCGUUUCUCAAGAGUCUGCAGGUCACGUGUCAGUCCAGUGAAGACGUGGGUUUUAUUAGUAAGUAAAUAAUAUACAUGUCCUCAAAAGAACUGUACUGAACAUACAGCAACAAUAGUAACCAAGACAAAUGUAUUUAAUCCAGAUGAACUGUAAACAUUUAUCUUGAUUUUGCAUCGUGCGUUUCAGAGACGGCUGCUGCCGUUGGAGCAGAAGCAAGUGAGACAUUCAUGGAUCAUCUGCUUCACAUGUUUACUUCUUCAACUGAACUCAGCACACCUUAAUGUGGAAAGUCUAUUGACAUGCUUUUAC